rnacentral:rRNA from 1 species
AGCGAACGUUUGCGGCGGGCCUAACACAUGCAAGUCGAACGCACUAGCAAUAGUGAGUGGCGCACGGGUGCGUAACACGUGGGUAAUCAACCCUUCAGCUUGGGAUAACGACUUGAAAGGGUCGCUAAUACCGGAUACGGCGCGGGAGGCUUCGGCUUCUCACGAGAAAGCCUCGCAAGGGGCACUGAAGGACGAGCCUGCGGCCCAUCAGCUAGUUGGUGAGGUAAGAGCUCACCAAGGCGAAGACGGGUAGCUGGUCUGAGAGGAUGAUCAGCCACACUGGAACUGAGACACGGUCCAGACUCCUACGGGAGGCAGCAGUGGGGAAUAUUGCGCAAUGGGCGAAAGCCUGACGCAGCCACGCCGCGUGAGCGAUGAAGGCCUUCGGGUCGUAAAGCUCUGUGGGGAGAGACGAAGAAAGCCCGUGAAGAGCGGGCCUUGACGGUAGUCUCCUUAGCAAGCACCGGCUAACUCCGUGCCAGCAGCCGCGGUAAC